GUAACAUGUUAUCACUAAGAUAUAUAUCUUAGGAUACUAGAGAACAGGAGGAAGCCAACCAGAGCACAUUCUGCAAACAGGAGAAUCGUUGGAAAGAGAAAUGUCCCUAAUAUUUUCAAGAGAAGCCACCCAUAGUCAGCAAAACUCUGGACCAAUCCUGGCAGAUGGCAGUACUGGUAGAAGAAGCUGAAGAAGGCAAGUGUCUUUUCACAUGUUCCCCAGAGUGACACCCUGAAGAAUCUCAGCUGACUCUUAAAAGAAGAUAGGAACAGGUUAAUUUUGACCAACUUGGUCUUAAAUACCUGAUAGAAUAGUAUGACCAAAGCACACUAAUACAUGAACACUUAAAGAAUAUUUUUUUUAAUGUAAUGUAAGACGUACAUGUAUUAGCCCUAUAAAAAGUAAGUAAAGCUGGAAGCUGUAAAGAAAGGGAUAUUAUGUGGUUACACCUAAUAUUUAACUAUCAUAAAGGACUCUGGAGUCCCAAGCUUGUCCUGCAUUUUAGAAUCUGGCUGAAAUACUGUCUGUUGUAUUAAUUAUUUACAAAAAGAGUAAUGCUUUGCUGUCUUGUUUAUUUGUGUCCUGCAGGAUCCUUGCCUAAUAUAUGCCUUGUCCAGUCACAUUUCAAAUGCCAGCAUAGACCUCUGGACCAUUCUGAUGCUGAAUACCCUUAAUUGUCCAUGCCUCACCUGAAAGAGAACAAGGACUUUGGGUCACUUCUUCCCUGUCAACUUUACCCUCUCCCAGCAGGAACAGCUUGGAGGUGUCCUCACCCAUUUGUCAAUAGAAAUGGAAUGUAGAAAUUGACAGUGGGUAUAUGAAACAGUGGUCCCUUGAUCUUUUGAACAUAGCCUUAGCUGCUUAUUUUAAAUGAGACUUGUUUUUCUUUUCCUCUACUCCCUGUCCACCUCCCUAACCGGGGCACAUGGAAUAGGAUUACCAUACCCUAGACCUAGUUAUCUGUAUUUGAGCACACACCAACACAGGAAGCAAGUAAUCCACACUUGAGGGAUGGCCCAGAUCUAAGGAAUAGCUAUCUUCCCAAUUAACAAUGCAUCACUAUCCCCCUUUAGGGCAAACUAGAAUGAAGCCUUUGAAGAGCUUCUUUAAAAGACCUCUGUUCUCCCUUAUGAGCAGAAUCCUGGCCUCUGGAAUAGGAGUUCAUGUUCUUCUUUUUUUGCUCUCAAUGCAAUAAACCUUUUCCUUUUGCUCAAAACCAUGUCAUCAUUAUUAGAUUGGCAUCGGGGACAAGGACCAUGCUUUUGGUAAUGGUAAUAACCAAAUUACAAACUUUACCUGGAUUUCACAUUUUUAUUUGUGAUAUCUAGUAAUAAGAGGGAUAUAUGGCAUGAUAAAACUAGUUCCAAAGAUUCAAAGCAGACAAAAAUGGCAAAAAUGUCUGGAUAUUUGGGUGGGGUGAGUUUCUAGGAAUCUGAAUUUACCCCCAAUGACAGGAAUAGAAGCUUAUAAAAAGUUAGCUUUUUUUCUAGAUAACUCUUGAUCAAUGCUGUGAAAUGAACAAUUUUACUCCAUAUGGGCAUUUCCUUUAUGCCCUUUGGAAUUUGUCGGGCAGCCAAGUGUGAGAGGCCCCUCUUUGCCUUAAAUGUUAAGGGUAAAAUAUUUUGAAGUUAUUUAGCCUUACUGCACAGACCUCUUCCAGUCACCAAUUAAAGUGUUAAGAGAUAUAGAUGUUUCGUGGUUUUGGACUCCACUGUUUUCUUUAUGUUCUCUCUCUCUCUCUCUCUCUCUCUGUCUCUCUGUCUCUCUCUCUUUCAUAGGCUGUGAAUGAAACCCAGGACCUUUUACAUGCUGGAUAAGCAUUUUAUCACUGAACUACUUCCAAGCCCCUUUUAGUACUUUGUUCUUGAUGCAUAUUUGUGAAACUAAUGCUGAAUUAUAUUUUUUUUUCUUGGC
rnacentral:lncRNA from 1 species